rnacentral:rRNA from 1 species
AUUGAACGCUGGCGGCAGGCUUAACACAUGCAAGUCGAGCGGGGGAAGGUAGCUUGCUACCGGACCUAGCGGCGGACGGGUGAGUAAUGCUUAGGAAUCUGCCUAUUAGUGGGGGACAACAUCUCGAAAGGGAUGCUAAUACCGCACACGUCCUACGGGAGAAAGCAGGGGAUCUUCGGACCUUGCGCUAAUCGAUGAGCCUAAGGCGGAUUAGCUAGUUGGUGGGGUAAAGGCCUACCAAGGCGACGAUCUGUAGCGGGUCUGAGAGGAUGAUCCGCCACACUGGGACUGAGACACGGCCCAGACUCCUACGGGAGGCAGCAGUGGGGAAUAUUGGACAAUGGGGGGAACCCUGAUCCAGCCAUGCCGCGUGUGUGAAGAAGGCCUUAUGGUUGUAAAGCACUUUAAGCGAGGAGGAGGCUACUCUAGUUAAUACCUAGGGAUAGUGGACGUUACUCGCAGAAUAAGCACCGGCUAACUCUGUGCCAGCAGCCGCAGUAA